ensembl:lncRNA
GCCAGAAUGGCACCGUGGGCCCCCCCCUCCCCGUGCUCCCAGCUCAAACGGAGAGAGCAGGGUCGGGGCUCCAGCCCUGCGGGGUCCCCAUCCCCUGGUGCUGGGGGCUCAGCGCUCUGUGGGUAGGAGCCAGGGUGCGAGGGGUUCCCUGGUGCGGGGUCCCAGCCCUUCUGGGUGCACCCAGCCCUUCUGGAAGCCCCUUUUGCUGCCUGGAAGGGGGAGGAGGGAGAAUCCCAAGGGCCCGGGCCCCCUCCUUCCAGCUCGGCCCCACCCUGCACUUACCCUGACGCCGUGUCCCAGCGGGGCCCUGCGCAGCCCAUUAGCAGGAGGGAGAGAGAAGCGUUGGUAAAACGCAUUUGGGGUGAGGCAAGCAGCAGCGGGAGCGAGACCCUCCUCCCCCCAACCUCCAGCCCUGCCCUACUGCUGCCUCGUGCCCCACAGAGCCAGGCUGUCUGGUGCUCAGCCCCCUCCGUGCCCCUCUGCAAGAACACAUGGGCGCAGGGCUGCGAGGGGACUUGGCCAGGGGGGGUACGGGGGGUGCAGUGGGGAGCAGCGCUGGGGGAACUGCCCAUGCUUCCUUUUGUGUCUCUGCCCCCCGUGAGGCCAAGGGGUGCUCCCGUGCCCCCAUGCCAGGGGGCUGCAGGGCACCCCCUCCCCACCAGCCAUAGGCAGGGCAGCCCCCCCGGGCCUGCGGCCACGCUGCCUCCAUUAGGGCCCCAUUCCCGGAGCCGUGCCAGGGAACACAGCUCCCUGCGGGCCCUGCUCCGGGCGGAGAGAGCCGGCAUCCCCCAGGCACUGCUCUGCGGGCGCUGCCUGGAAGUGGGAGAUGGGGGGGGGCUGCGUGUGGGGGUGGGGGUCCCCUCUGUGCUGCCCAUCCCUGGGCUCCCAGUGCUGGCUGAUGGAGCAGGAACGGGGAGCUCUGCAGGGAGGUUGGGGGAGCUCUGAUGUGGAGGGAUGGAGGGAGGGAUAAUGGGAUAGAGGGAUGUGGGAUGGAUGGAUGGAUGGAUGGAUGGAUGGAUGGAUGGAUGGAUGGAUGGAUGGAUGGAUGGAAGGAAGGAAGGAUGGAAGGAUGGAUGGAAGGAUGGAUGGGUGGGUGGAUGGAAGGAUGGAAGGAUGGAAGGAUGGGUGGAUGGGUGGAAGGAUGGAAGGAUGGGUGGAUGGGUGGAUGGGUGGAUAGAUGGAGAAGGAAGGGGACAGAUGGAUGGAGGGUGGAUGGAAGGGUCAGUUGAGAAGAUGGGCAGAUGGAUGGAGAGGAAGAUGGGGUGGAUGGAUGGGUGGAUGGACAUAGGGAUGGGUGGAUGGNUGUUGGUACUGGGAGACUUAAGGGAAGGUUGGGUGCUGGUUUUGGGGGGGCUGAUAAGGGGGUGUUGGAUUGGGGGGGUUAUGCAGUGCCGGGCUGAGCCCUGUGCCCCCCUCCCUGUGCGCAGCCACUGUGACACCCCCCGGAGGAAGGUGCCGGGGGGGUCCCUGCAGCGCUGCCGCCUGAGCCGCGCCUCCUCGGGAUCGUCCCAGGACUCGGCCAGCUCCGAAGGCUCCGACGCGGGAGUGGGGUUGGAGUCCCCGACAGAGGAGGACCCCGAGGCCAUGGAGGAAAUGUGAGUGCCCCCCCCAUCAGCGCCAUGCGGGAGGGUCAGGGCUUCCCCCCCCCCCAACCCUUUAUUGCAAACAGUUGAGGAAUGGCACCCACACAGCUCAAAUCCUGCUGCUGGGUGGGGCGGGGGGGGGGGGGGGGCAGGAAGCCACAGGCUCUUCCGGGCAAUGCUGUGUGCUUGGGAGGGUGGGGUGAGGCUGAGUGUGCCCCCCCCCCCCCCCCCCCCCCCCCCCCGCCGGGCCGGGGGGGGGGGUGCCCCCCCCCCCCCCCCCCAAUCCCUGCCCAGCCGUUGGCAGAUGGCAGCGUGGGGACAGAUGGCGCUUGGGGGGGGGUGACAUUAGCAUACAGGUGGGGAGUGGGGCUGGGGACCACCCGCGUGUAGCCCCCCCCAUCAGGAUCUAUAAUCUGAGCCCUGAGGGCGGCAGCACUCAGCUCCUAUAGCCCGGGUGGGGGCUCCGUGCCCCUCCCCAGCUAAGGGGGGGGGGUGGGGUGGGGUAUGGCCCCCCCUGACCUCAGCCCCACUUUGCCC